AUGGUGCGAGGUCUGCCAUGCCUCGACCAUGUGGAGAAGUUCUGCGACAUCUGCGUACUGACAAAGCAGAGACGACUCCCCUUUCCCCAACAGGCGAGUUUUCGGGCUAAGGAGAAGCUGGAGCUCGUGCACGGAGACCUGUGUGGCCCGGUGACGCCAGCCACACCAGGAGGUCGACGCUACUUCCUGCUGCUCGUCGACGAUCUCUCCCGCUACAUGUGGGUGAUGAUCCUCGGCAGUAAGGGAGAAGCGGCGGGCGCCAUCAGGCGCGCGCAGGUUGGUGUGGAGGCGGAGAGCGGCCGCAAAUUGCGCGUGUUGCGCACUGACAACGGCGGCGAGUUCACGACGGCUGAAUUCGCGUCGUACUGCGCCGAUGAGGGCAUCCAGCGCCACUACUCCGCGCCGUACAGCCCGCAGCAAAACGGCGUCGUCGAGCGGCGCAACCAGACGGUUGUGGGGAUGGCUCGGGCUCUCCUCAAGCAGAGAGGGAUGCCGGCUGUCUUUUGGGGAGAGGCGGUGCUAACGGUCGUCUACAUCCUCAACCGCUCUCCUACUAAGGCACUCGACGGCAGAACUCCAUACGAGGCCUGGCAUGGGCGGAAGCCGGCGGUCUCUCAUUUGCGGGUCUUUGGCUGCCUUGCGUUCGCCAAGGAGCUCGGCCACAUCGGCAAGCUCGACGACAGGAGCACUCCGGGAGUCUUCAUCGGCUACGCGGAGGGCUCAAAGGCCUACCGCAUCCUCGACCCAAAGACACAACGUGUGCGCACAGCGCGAGACGUCAUGUUCAACGAAGGGCGAGGGUGGCAAUGGGACAAGGCGGUGGACGACGGCUCGACACCGACGUAUGACGACUUCAUUAUCGAGUACGCUCACUUCAAGGAAGCUGGGGGAGCAAGCAGCUCCUCUUCACCGGGCACGUCUACCCCGGCCCCCAAAACUACAUUGACUCCGGCGCCUGCUACACCGACGACACCACAACCGGUGACGCCGCAUACUCCAGCCCCGGCGGUCGCCACUCCGGGCUCGUCUUCAUCAGCACCAGCUCACGCAGAGCACAACCCGAUGAAGUUCGUUUCCCCGCUCACUCACGACAAGGAGCGGGUCGACGCAUGGUAUGGAGGCGAACAGCUGCGGUAUCGCACGAUGGAUGAUCUACUCGGCGACCAGCCGGUGCCGGGACCGAUGCCACGUGACCUGGAGGCAUAG
rnacentral:rRNA from 1 species